UCGAGCCCAUGUGAAGCCUCUUCAACGAGUCGAGUUGUUUGGGAAUGCAGCUCAAAAUGGGUGGUAAAUUUCAUCUAAAGCUAAAUACUGGCUGGAGACCGAUAGCGCACAAGUAGAGUGAUCGAAAGAUGAAAAGCACUUUGGAAAGAGAGUCAAACAGUACGUGAAAUUGUUGAAAGGGAAGCGCUUGCAACCAGACCUGUCCGUAGGUGAUCAGCCGCUGUUUUCAGUGGUGCACUCGCUCUGCGAUCAGGCCAGCAUCGGUUUCGGCGGUCGGAUAAAGGCCUUGGGAAUGUAGCUUCCCUUCGGGGGAGUCUUAUAGCCCUCGGUGCCAUGCGGCCAGCCGGGACCGAGGACCGCGCUUCGGCUAGGAUGCUGGCGUAAUGGUUGUAAGCGACCCGUCUUGAAACACGGACCAAGGAGUCUAACAUCUAUGCGAGUGUUUGGGUGUCAAACCCAUGCGCGGAAUGAAAGUGAACGGAGGUGAGAACCCUUAAGGGCGCAUCAUCGACCGAUCCAGAUGUCUUCGGAUGGAUUUGAGUAUGAGCAUAGCCGUUGGGACCCGAAAGAUGAUGAACUAUACCUGAAUAGGGUGAAGCCAGAGGAAACUCUGGUGGAGGCUCGCAGCGGUUCUGACGUGCAAAUCGAUCGUCAAA
rnacentral:rRNA from 1 species